rnacentral:rRNA from 1 species
AUACGGAGGUGGCAAGCGUUGUUCGGAAUUACUGGGUGUAAAGCGCAUGUAGGCGUUUUUGUAAGUUGGAUGUGAAAUCCCUCGGCUCAACCGGGGAAUUGCAUUCAAAACUGCAGAAAUAGAGUUUAGGAUAGGAGAGCGGAAUUCCUGGUGUAGAGGUGAAAUUUGUAGAUAUCAGGAAGAACUCCGGCUGCGAAGGCUGCUCUCUGGCCUAAUACUGACGCUGAGAUGCGAAAGCUAGGGGAGCGAACAGGAUUAGAUACCCUGGUAGUCCUAGCCGUAAACGAUGGACACUAGAUAUCUCUGUGCGAGCAGGGGUGUCGCAGCUAACGCGUUAAGUGUCCCACCUGGGGAGUACGGUCGCAAGGCUGAA